rnacentral:lncRNA from 1 species
GGUUGUCUCCACCUGGCCUGACCCGCUCUUGUAUUUGGGCUUUGUUACCUGGGACUGGUUUCCCGGACUUCUUGCUUUUAAUUUUAGUUACCUGUGAUCCACCACGGUCGGAAACAGAUGAUUCUCCUUCUGACUUGUCUGCAGAAGGUCAGUAAAGGAGCCUAACGCCAGGCUCCAGUGCCUAUGUAACUCACCGUACUUCAUCUCAUCAAAUAAGCAUUUUGUCAUCUCACAUCAUCACAAGAAGGGUGCUUCCAGUCUGCAGUCAAGGUUGAAAGCCACUGUCACAGAGAUUCAACAACCCAAACAAGAUAAUAAUUCCAACCAUUUCUUAUGUUUCAAGCAUGAUGUCUAAAAAGACCUUAAAUUCAUGGCUCCUCCCAAGCAAUCCAGGUCAAACAUGGUCG